UGGGGAAUAUUGCACAAUGGGGGAAACCCUGAUGCAGCGACGCCUCGUGAACGAAGAAGGUAUUCGUAUCGUAAAGUUCUGUCCUAUGGGAAGAUAAUGACAGUACCAUAGAAGAAAGCUCCGGCUAAAUACGUGCCAGCAGCCGCGGUAAUACGUAUGGAGCGAGCGUUGUCCGGAAUUAUUGGGCGUAAAGGGUACGCAGGCGGUUUAAUAAGUCGAAUGUUAAAGAUCGGGGCUCAACCCCGUAAAGCAUUGGAAACUGAUAAACUUGAGUAGUGGAGAGGAAAGUGGAAUUCCUAGUGUAGUGGUGAAAUACGUAGAUAUUAGGAGGAAUACCAGUAGCGAAGGCGACUUUCUGGACACAAACUGACGCUGAGGUACGAAAGCGUGGGGAGCAAACAGG
rnacentral:rRNA from 1 species